rnacentral:rRNA from 1 species
ACGGAGGGUGCAAGCGUUGUUCGGAUUUAUUGGGCGUAAAGCGCGUGUAGGCGGUUUGUUAAGUCUGAUGUGAAAGCCCUGGGCUCAACCUGGGAAGUGCAUUGGAAACUGGCAGACUUGAAUACGGGAGAGGGUAGUGGAAUUCCUAGUGUAGGAGUGAAAUCCGUAGAUAUUAGGAGGAACACCGGUGGCGAAGGCGGCUACCUGGACCGAUAUUGACGCUGAGACGCGAAAGCGUGGGGAGCAAACAG